rnacentral:tRNA from 1 species
GAGGAUAAAGCUCAGUGGUAGAGCACCUGCUUAGCGUGCACGAGGUCCUGGGUUUAUUCCCUGGUACCUCCA